rnacentral:rRNA from 1 species
AGAGUAAAACAGUACGUGAAAUUGUUGAAAGGGAAACGCUUGAAGUCAGUCGUGCCGGCGGGGAUUCAGCGAACUUCGCGGAGUGAGUGUAUUUCCUCGCAUGGCAGGUCAGCGUCAGUUUCGUGCGUCGUGAAAGGGCGCAGAUUUACUUCAUACCUGGCGAUCUGUUCGCCAUAUCGAGCAGAUGCGAUGCGCGGGACUGAGGAUUGCAGCGGACACCCUUCGGGGGCGCGGCGACCGAUCCCUGCUCUGUCACCUUCGUCCGAUAGCAUGCUAACGGUUGGGGGAGUGGCGGUUGCACCGGGUUGGCAAGCCGGCGGCUUCGCUAAGGAUGCUGGCGUAAUGGCUUUAAACGACC